UACAGAGGUCUCAAGCGUUGUUCGGAUUCAUUGGGCGUAAAGGGUGCGUAGGCGGCGCGGUAAGUCGGGUGUGAAAUCUUGGAGCUUAACUCCAGAACUGCCUUUGAUACUGAAGAUCUCGGGUCCGGGGGAGGUGAGUGGAACUGCGAGUGUAGAGGUGAAAUUCGUAGAUAUUCGCAAGAACACCAGUGGCGAAGGCGGCUCACUGGCCCGGUACUGACGCUGAGGUGCGAAAGCGUGGGGAGCAAACAGG
rnacentral:rRNA from 1 species